AGGUCACAACGGUGGAUUCUUGGCUGGUCACUGUGAUUUCUGGCACUGACGUAGUGGUUUCAACAACAGUUGUGGUUAAGGUUGUUGUAGGACCAGUGGUGACUAUCUUGGGAGGUUUUGUUGUCACAACCUGGACUGUUGUUCCUUCAGGGGUGGUUGUCUCAAGAGACUUGGUUGUGGUUCCAACAGUAGUACUUGAAGGUGCUUGAGUAGUUGUGGUAGUCACAGAAGGUUUGGAGGUCACAACGGUGGAUUCUUGGCUGGUCACUGUGAUUUCUGGCACUGACGUAGUGGUUUCAACAACAGUUGUGGUUAAGGUUGUUGUAGGACCAGUGGUGACUAUCUUGGGAGGUUUUGUUGUCACAACCUGGACUGUUGUUCCUUCAGGGGUGGUUGUCUCAACAGACUUGGUUGUGGUUCCAACAGUAGUACUUG